rnacentral:rRNA from 1 species
UACAGAGGGUGCAAGCGUUAAUCGGAAUUACUGGGCGUAAAGCGUGCGCAGGCGGUUUGCUAAGACCGAUGUGAAAUCCCCGGGCUUAACCUGGGAACUGCAUUGGUGACUGGCAGGCUAGAGUAUGGCAGAGGGGGGUAGAAUUCCACGUGUAGCAGUGAAAUGCGUAGAGAUGUGGAGGAAUACCGAUGGCGAAGGCAGCCCCCUGGGCCAAUACUGACGCUCAUGCACGAAAGCGUGGGGAGCAAACAGG